rnacentral:rRNA from 1 species
UGGGGAAUAUUGGACAAUGGGGGCAACCCUGAUCCAGCAAUGCCGCGUGUGUGAAGAAGGCCUGCGGGUUGUAAAGCACUUUCAGUAGAGAAGAAAAGCUUACGGUUAAUACCCGUGAGUCUUGACGUAACCUACAGAAGAAGCACCGGCUAACUCCGUGCCAGCAGCCGCGGUAAUACGGAGGGUGCGAGCGUUAAUCGGAAUUACUGGGCGUAAAGCGCGCGUAGGCGGUUUUGUAAGUCGGAUGUGAAAGCCCAGGGCUUAACCUUGGAAUUGCAUUCGAUACUGCAGAACUCGAGUAUGGUAGAGGGAAGUGGAAUUCCCGGUGUAGCGGUGAAAUGCGCAGAUAUCGGGAGGAACACCAGUAGCGAAGGCGGCUCGCUGGGCCAUUCCUGACGCUGAGACGCGAAAGCGUGGGGAGCAAACAGGAUUAGAUACCCCGGUAGUCC